rnacentral:tRNA from 1 species
GGACCCGUAGCUCAGUUGGUUAGAGCGCUCGGCUCAUAACCGAGUGGUCACCGGUUCAAAUCCGGUCGGGUCCACCA